GGGCCCAUGGCGCAAUUGGUCAGCGCUGCCGGCUCAUAACCGGUUGGUUCCAGGUUCGAGUCCUGGUGGGCCCACCA
rnacentral:tRNA from 1 species